rnacentral:tRNA from 1 species
GGGGAUGUAGCUAAGUGGUAGAGUACUUGCCUAGUAUAUGUAAGGACCUAGGUUCAAUUCCUAGCCCUA